rnacentral:rRNA from 1 species
UACGGGGGGGGCAAGCGUUGUCCGGAUUUAUUGGGCGUAAAGAGCUCGUAGGUGGUUCGGUAAGUCGGGUGUGAAACCUCCAGGCUCAACCUGGAGACGCCACCCGAUACUGCUGUGACUGGAGUCCGGUAGGGGAGCGUGGAAUUCCUGGUGUAGCGGUGAAAUGCGCAGAUAUCAGGAGGAACACCAGCGGCGAAGGCGGCGCUCUGGGCCGGUACUGACACUGAGGAGCGAAAGCGUGGGUAGCAAACAGG